rnacentral:rRNA from 1 species
ACGAACGCUGGCGGCGUGCCUCAUACAUGCAAGUCGAGCGCUAUAAGCCCGGGCAACUGGGUCUGUAGAGCGGCAGACGGGUGCGUAACACGUGGAUAACCUACCUGAAAGUUGGGGAUAAGCCCUCGAAAGGGGGUCUAAUACCGAAUGACACCUAAAGAAGGCAUCUUCUUUGGAUCAAAGCUGGCCUCUGCUUGCAAGCUAGCGCUACCAGAUGGGUCCGCGUCCGAUUAGCUAGUUGGCGGGAUAACAGCCCACCAAGGCUACGAUCGGUAGCCGACCUGAGAGGGUGUACGGCCACACUGGGACUGAGAUACGGCCCAGACUCCUACGGGAGGCAGCAGUAGGGAAUAUUGGACAAUGGAGGAAACUCUGAUCCAGCAACGCCGCGUGGAGGAUGAAGUCUUUCGGGAUGUAAACUCCUGUCAGAGGGGACGAAACUUUUGCGACCUAAUACGUCGCAGAAUCGACGGUACCCUCAGAGGAAGCACCGGCUAACUCCGUGCCAGCAGCCGCGGUAAUACGGGGGGUGCAAGCGUUGUUCGGAAUCACUGGGUGUAAAGGGCAGGUAGGCGGGCCGAUAAGUUGGAUGUGAAAACCCUGUGGCUUAACCCAGGGCUGGCAUCUGAAACUAUUGGUCUUGAGUACGGGAGAGGGAGAUGGAAUUCCUGGUGUAACGGUGAAAUGUGUAGAUAUCAGGAGGAACACCGGUGGCGAAGGCGGUCUCCUGGGCCGCUACUGACGCUGAGCUGCGAAAGCUAGGGAGCAAACAGGGAUUUAGAUACCCCCGGGUAGUCCCUAGCCCGUAAACGUUGGGUCCACUUAGGUGUUGAGCCCCUUAAUAAGGGCCCCAGUGCCCGCAGCUAACGCAAUUAAGUGACCCCACCUGGGGACUACGGCCGCAAGGUUGAAACUCAAAGGAAUUGACGGGGGCCCGCACAAGCGGUGGAGUAUGUGGUUCAAUUCGACGCAACGCGAAGAACCUUACCUGGGUUUGACAUCCCCGACGAAAGCCCCAAGAGAUUGGGUCCUCUCGCAAGAGACGUCGGGACAGGUGCUGCAUGGCUGUCGUCAGCUCGUGCCCGUGAGGUGUUGGGUUAAGUCCCGCAACGAGCGCAACCCCUGUUUCUAGUUGCCCUCUAGCCGUAAGGCUGGAGCACUCUAGGAAGACUGCCAGUUAUAAGCUGGAGGAAGGCGGGGAUGACGUCAAGUCCUCAUGGCCCUUAUGUCCAGGGCUACACACGUACUACAAUGGCCGGUACAACAGGAUGCCAAGCCGCGAGGUGGAGCCAAUCCCCAAAACCGGCCUCAGUUCAGAUUGCAGUCUGCAAUUCGACUGCAUGAAGGAGGAAUCGCUAGUAAUCGCGGAUCAGCAGGUCGCGGUGAAUACGUUCCCGGGCCUUGUACACACCGCCCGUCAAGCCAUGGAAGCCGGGAGUACCCAAAGUCGUCUGUCUAACCCCGACUCGUCGGGGAGUUACGGCGCCUAAGGUAAGUUCGGUGACUGGGGCUAA